GACGAACGCUGGCGGCGUGCUUAACACAUGCAAGUCGAACGGAAAGGCCCUGCUUUUGUGGUGUGCUCGAGUGGCGAACGGGUGAGUAACAUGUGAGUAACCUGCCCUUGACUUUGGGAUAACUUCAGGAAACUGGGGCUAAUACCGUAUAGGAUCUCCUGCUGCGUUGUGGGGGUUGGAAAGUUUCGGCGGUUGGGGAUGGACUCGCGGCUUAUCAGCUUGUUGGUGGGGUAUUGGCUUACCAAGGCUUUGACGGGUAGCCGGCCUGAGAGGGUGACCGGCCACAUUGGGACUGAGAUACGGCCCAGACUCCUACGGGAGGCAGCAGUGGGGAAUAUUGCACAAUGGGCGGAAGCCUGAUGCAGCAACGCCGCGUGCGGGAUGACGGCCUUCGGGUUGUAAACCGCUUUCGGCUGUGACGAAGCGAGAGUGACGGUAAUGGGUAAAGAAGCACCGGCUAACUACGUG
rnacentral:rRNA from 1 species